UUCCUGACCUCGGAUCAGACGUGAUUACCCGCUGAACUUAAGCAUAUCACUAAGCGGAGGAAAAGAAACUAACAAGGAUUCCCUCAGUAACGGCGAGUGAACAGGGAAAAGCCCAGCACCGAAGCCUGUGGUCAUUUGGUCACUAGGCAAUGUGGUGUUCAGGUCGUUCCGUUGAGGUGCUGCUCCACCCUAAGUCCAGCAAUGAGUACGGUAGUACGGACAUGGCCCAUAGAGGGUGAAAGGCCCGUGGGGGUGGAG
rnacentral:rRNA from 3 species